UUAUGAAUGAAAAUUUGAAAUCUCAAAUUGAGAAUUUUUCUUAGGAUUCGCAAUUCUUGUGAUAGAAUGCAUGUGACUCAUUCAAUCUAACCUUUAUCAAGUUCGGUUAUGGAGUGACUCAAUUUAGAACAAGAUUUUGAAUCUUGCUUCUAUAUCUUUGAUCUAAGAGGCAAUCUAAUUUUAACAUUUUCUCUUGGUUGAUCUAAAUUCAUAUAAGGAGGUACUAAUUUAUUGGAUUCAAAGGUUCUUGCUUCACAAUAGCUUGGAUCUUUAGGCUGAGGAUUAGAAUUGUCCUAUCAUUUGAUAUCAGAGCAUAGGUUGCAUUUUUUUGGCCUGCUCCAAAAUUGAUUCUAUAUUUCUUUUUUUAUUUUUUUGCAUUUUAAUUUUAGCUUUCAAUUUCGUCCAUUGAUUUCGUUAUUGCCUUUUCAUCCAUCGUUCUUCAUCUUUUUACCUUAUUUCCAUCUUAUUGAUCAAAUUUAGAUCUUAAAAAAAUGUGGGAAAAAAAUUAGAAUUUGUCUUGCAAUUAUUUAUACAAAUUGUAUGUUUGAUUUUUGAUAUUUGAAUCAGUUUGGUACAGUUGAGUUAUUAUAUUAAGUCUAUCUAUUUUCUGUCAAUUCUAAAAUUAAUUGCAUGUCCAAGAGUGUAUUUUCAACUUCCUAUCAUUAAUUGCUGAAAACUAUUCAAAUCUGAAAAUUGUUGAGCUUUCUUUUUAUCAUUCGUUUUCUUUCUCAAUGCAAAUGACUGAAUUUGAUUACAUGUCCUUCAACAAAAAUUUAUAUCAACCUCUUAUCUUAAAUUGUUAAGAAGAGCAUUUAGUCAAAGAUCCCUUUAUUUGCAAUUCUACUUUUGUAUUCAGUUUUAUUUGAAAAUUGCUUUGUGUCUUCCCUUAUUUGUUUGAGCCUUUCAUUGUUUUCUUGUUCUUUUUGUGGUAUUUUCAUAAUUAUCUUAUCUUGCUUGUAUUAAUUAACUCUCUGUUUCAAGAAUUUCUUGUUCCACUAAACCUAUACAAUACAUAAUUUAGUCACUUUCUCAGAUAGCCUAUUUUUUGUGUGCAAAUAGAAGUAUUCUUGAGUGAACAGUCUAGUGAAUUGAGUGUUUGGAGGUCUAUUUUUUUUUCAUCUUAUUAUCUUGUUAUGAAUUUUUUUCGAAGACUUUUUGCAGUAGUUUGGUCAAGUUAUGUCAAGUCGUUGAUUACAUAUCUAAAUUGACUCAUGAGUUGAAUUUGCGAGACCAAAAUUUGAAAAAGGUUUGACUAUCUAUUGAAAGUACGCUUAUUAUUGUGGUAGAGAGUGAUAAAGUUCAAGAUGACAUACUUUGUGAAAAAUUCGUUGAUUGUAUUAUAACACCUAAUAUUGAAGUUCAUGUUGAUGUGUUUGAAUUAGAGGACAAGACAAAAAAGACCAAAAUAAGAACAUGUAGAUUGAUCGAAAAAGAAUCUUCUAAAAAAAGAGUGAGAAAGAAAAGCAUUUAGGAUUUGGCCUGGAGAAUAAAAUGAGAGAAAAGUCGAAAAGGUAAAAUAGUCCCAGUAGCACUUUCGAGCAAUUAGAAGAAGUUUGGAGUUAAAAGGAGCAAAAAUGAGCCGAAAAUCACCUAAUUAGAAGAAGUCAAGAUAUUUACCAUUUUACCAUCACUGAGCAGCGUUGCAACACUAGAAAAAUACAAAUGUUCGGCUUUGCCUCGAUGCUGAAAGAUAGGGCAGCGUUGCAACGCUCUCCUUUAGCAUUACAACAUUACGAACAUUGAUGGAAAGAUAAAAAUUCGUGUGCGCACCUUUGUGCAAAUGAGCGUCAGGCCAGUGUCACUCCAGGGUUGCAAUGCUGCAUCCAACAUCUAUUAUAAACCAAAUUUUCCAGAAAUUAAGGGGAGACCAUGUGACGCCACAAAGAUUUGUACAUUUUUUUAAAAGAAAGAAAAAGAAAAAAAAUAGUUGUUGGUUAAUUUAGGAAAAGGAAAAGGGAAUUAGGGAUAUAAAGGUGAUUUGGGGACCUCGGGUUACAUGCAAAGGAAAAAAAAAAGAAAAAGAUUUCUUUUUACUUUUCCUUUCUUCUUCCUCCUCUCGUCGACCACGCGUUGCCUAGCCAAAGCCGCCAUCGAUCGAACACCAGAAGGCAUACAGAUCUAUUCAUCUACCACGCGUUAGACCUCCAACCAGCCACGUCGUGCGCCGAGUCGCCAGUCGCUGGCCUAACCCAAGCGUUGUUCACCAGUUCUAAUGCGGGCAGUGCCGAUUGUUGUCGAAUCAUAGUUGGUUCCGCCUUAUUCUUCUGUUCGGGGAACAUGUGGCAAUGAAGGAAGUUUCCAAGCGGAGUAAGAGUUUGUUUUGGGAUAGUUUGUUAUCCCGAGGUAAGGGUAAUGACAGACUGACACAGGACAAGAGAGAUCCGUGACCUGGCCAUUUAGGACGACUGACUGCUUCCGCACUUAAUAUCAUGUUUUUUUUUUAGUCUAGUUUAAGAGUUAAGCAUUUUAAACUCUCAUGCAAAAUUUAUUAAUUUUAUUAUUUGACUAUUUUAUUGUUUUCAUUUUAAAGUUGGG